rnacentral:rRNA from 1 species
GUGGGGAAUCUUAGACAAUGGGGGAAACCCUGAUCUAGCCAUGCCGCGUGAGCGAUGAAGGCCUUAGGGUUGUAAAGCUCUUUCAGCUGGGAAGAUAAUGACGGUACCAGCAGAAGAAGCCCCGGCUAACUCCGUGCCAGCAGCCGCGGUAAUACGGAGGGGGCUAGCGUUGUUCGGAAUUACUGGGCGUAAAGCGAACGUAGGCGGAUCAGAAAGUCAGAGGUGAAAUCCCAGGGCUCAACCUUGGAACUGCAUUUGAAACUCCUGGUCUUGAGGUCGAGAGAGGUGAGUGGAAUUCCGAGUGUAGAGGUGAAAUUCGUAGAUAUUCGGAGGAACACCAGUGGCGAAGGCGGCUCACUGGCUCGAUACUGACGCUGAGGUGCGAAAGCGUGGGGAGCAAACAGGAUUAGAAACCCGAGUAGUCC